rnacentral:rRNA from 1 species
CCUACGGGGCGCAGCAGUAGGGAAUAUUGCUCAAUGGGGGAAACCCUGAAGCAGCCAAGUAGCGUGAAGGAUGACUGCCCUACGGGUUGUAAACUUCUUUUAUAAAGGAAUAAAGUGAGGCACGUGUGCCUUUUUGUAUGUACUUUAUGAAUAAGGAUCGGCUAACUCCGUGCCAGCAGCCGCGGUAAUACGGAGGAUCCGAGCGUUAUCCGGAUUUAUUGGGUUUAAAGGGAGCGUAGAUGGGUUGUUAAGUCAUUUGUGAAAGUUUGCGGCUCAACCGUAAAAUUGCAAUUGAUACUGGCAGUCUUGAGUACAGUUGAGGUAGGCGGAAUUCGUGGUGUAGCGGUGAAAUGCUUAGAUAUCACGAAGAACUCCGAUUGCGAAGGCAGCAUAUUAAACUGCCACUGACAUUGAUGCUCGAAAGUGUGGGUAUCAAACAGGAUUAGAUACCCCUGUAGUC